rnacentral:rRNA from 1 species
UACGUAGGGUGCAAGCGUUGUCCGGAAUUAUUGGGCGUAAAGAGCUUGUAGGCGGUCUGUCGCGUCUGCUGUGAAAAUCCGGGGCUCAACCCCGGACUUGCAGUGGGUACGGGCAGACUAGAGUGUGGUAGGGGAGACUGGAAGUUCCUGGUGUAGCGGUGAAAUGCGCAGAUAUCAGGAGGAACACCGAUGGCGAAGGCAGGUCUCUGGGCCACUACUGACGCUGAGAAGCGAAAGCAUGGGGAGCGAACAGG